UCCAUUUUCUACUCUCAUCUGAUAUGACGCUCUGUUGACAGAAAGAUGAUUUAUUUGCUUUUCCACCAUCUCUGCAGAAUUCAUGCUUGUCACAUGGUGAAGUCUUCAUGAUUCACUGGGUUUCUGUAAAAAAAAUGCAUCUCUUUUUCUUCCUUUUUCAUAAGAUAAAUACUUUCUUGCCCAACUGUAUUGCAAGUGAUACACGACAAACAUGGGAUUAAAAAUUAAAACAAAGAUCCAAAAUUUUGUGCUCAUUGGUUGCUUGGUUGUGGUGACAAAAGUCUACUCAGACAUUUGGAAGCACAGAGGUUGCCACAAGGUGUGUCCUAAGUAGAUUUGGCUUGCCACAGGCAGCAUGAGAGAGGAGUGAAGGUUGACUGAUUAUAUGAGAUGAAGCAAGAAACAGGAAGAAGCAAGAAUCAAUGUGAAGUUAAGAAGAGAUUUGACUUGAUGGAUAUCUGUCUCCCCAUAACCAAGCUCUGGGAAGGACAGUUUAACACAAUGCAGAAGACUAGCUUGUUCUUAAAGCGGUGACAAGUAAAUGGUGACAUUGCCAAAUCAUAUCAGUAGGGUCUGGAUCUUCACCACAGGGAUUUGUGACAUCCAAGAAGUCAGCAAACAAAGGGUGGCAUUGCGAGUCUUCCUGUAUUCUGUCAAGGACUUCUCAGUCUUCAUGAUUGCUGUGUUGCUGUGGUGUAGCAGCUGUCUUGUUGCUGAUGUCCAAAGCUAGGGGUGCAUAAUAUCUUCUACUAAACCAUACAAGCCUGAGGCUCUGCAUUCAGAAACAAAAAAGGAACCUAUGCAUCAUGAAAGAGAUGUAUCCAGGGAAUGAGUGCCUCUUUUGACAAGUGUUUCUGACAAUUGACAAACUGUUGCCUGCCAUGUGAAUCCGAGGAGUGACUGAUGUUAGCAAACUCACCUCUCAAUUCCCCUAGAUAGCACUGGAAACCUGAUGGCAGGUAGAGACAAACAUUGCCACUGCUGCCAGGUUGCCCUUCCAGAGACUGUGAGAGAGCUUGGAUAGAAGCUGAGCAGCAAACGUG
rnacentral:lncRNA from 1 species